ACGAAAACAGAAACUUCAACAGCAGUAAAACCAUUGAAAGAUCCCCAGCACGGGAAUUGAAUUUCCAUGUCCCAUCUUCUUCGUGUACUUGAUCAGUAGUAGCCUCAGCAUACUGGCAAUGAAAGGUUUGUGGGUGGGAUUUAGAGGUAAGUUGCUUCACAGGAACUUUUCUUUAUGAGGUUCUUAUUAUGUCAUUCUUGUUUUUGUAAUGACUACUUGAAAUUGGUUUCAUUUAGGGUCGUAUACUCAUUUCUGUAAUUUCCAAAACAUCAGGAAACAAUGCACUACUUUACAGAAGGGAAAAUCCUCUCUCCUUGAGAUGCUCUUUUCGCUCCUUGAAAGCAAGAAAUAACCGUUC
rnacentral:lncRNA from 1 species